AUGGCAAAAGCACAAGAGGAUAUUCGAAUUGUCCAGCGCUGCGCACAGAGGGUGAGAGCGGCUGUUUCGCUGUUGCUUGUUGGGUCUCCUAGAGGCAUAACCUGGGUCCUGGUUUACCGGACAGAUGAGUUCAAGAGACUGAAGGUGGAAGUGGAAAAACAGAGUAAAAAAUUGGAGAAGAAGAAGGAGACAAUAACAGAGUCAGCUGGUUGACAACAAAAAAAGAAAAUUGAGAGACAAGAAGAAAAACUGAAGAAUAACAACAGAGAUCUAUCAAUGGUUCGAAUGAAAUCUAUGUUUGCAAUUGGUUUUUGUUUUACUGCUCUAAUGGGAAUGUUCAAUUCCAUAUUUGAUGGUAGAGUGGUGGCAAAGCUCCCUUUUACUCCACUGUCCUACAUCCAAGGACUGUCUCACCAAAACCUGCUGGGAGAUGACACCACAGACUGCUCUUUCAUCUUCCUGUAUAUUCUGUGCACUAUGUCAAUUCAGCAAAACAUCCAGAAGAUUCUUGGCCUUGCCCCUUCACGAGCUGCCACCAAGCAGGCAGGUGGAUUUCUUGGCCCACCGCCUCCUUCUGGGAAGUUCUCUUGACCUCACACAGAAGAAUCCUUUAAUUCUUUUCAUUCUUUGUAGUCCCUCAGUUCAGACUGGCAACUCUUUUGUAGCAAGAGCCAUGGGCAGCCAUAGUACUUGGGGCCAUUUUCUAGUUUUGAAUUAUUUCUCAGCAUUUUGGAUAUAAUGAGAGCGAGAAUGGCACCAACAAAUAAGAUUGUGUUACAGAUUUUUUUUUUUGAUAGGUGGAUUG